UGAUCAAAACAACCUUUCACUUAAAUCAAACCUUUUGUUCUUCUUUUUCUCUUUCUUAUUUCCCAUUUCCAAUAUUAAUAUAUAUAUAUGGCUUUGUAUUCGACAUCCAAAUGACAAAAACUUGAAGAGACUAGUGAAGGAAGCUAUGGAUGGUUACGGUAUGAGGAGACUUGUAUUGAUGAUGAUGAUGAUGAUGAUGAUAACGUUAAUCGUGCCUAUAUCAUCCUCUCUCCAUCCCCAUCCUCCUUCCCCUCCGAGUGACGCGAUCUCUUCAAAAACACUAUGUUAUUUGAACUGUGUUCGAAGAGUAGACCUGAACUUUCUACGAUCUGGCAUUUAUGGACAUACUAUUAGACUAUGUGUGCGUUUUGUAUGUAAUCAUGGAUAGCUGCACUCUUGGUAAACACCAACUUAGAGCAAGGUGUACGUACGUGCAUGAGAAUAAAGUGAACGCCCAUGCAUGCCCAGAAGCCUCCUGGCCAGCUAGCUAUCACCACCUGCAAGACAGAUUUCUAGCUAAUAUUUUCUCAUCAGUUUAUUGAAUAAAAAACACGUGUAUUUUGUAUUAAUGAAUGCUCUAAUUAAUACUACAUAAUUAAUUAAAGCAA